GCUACAGGCUUAACGCAUGCAAGUCGAGGGGCAGCAUUUUAGUUUGCUUGCAAACUGAAGAUGGCGACCGGCGCACGGGUGAGUAACACGUAUCCAACCUGCCGAUAACUCCGGAAUAGCCUUUCGAAAGAAAGAUUAAUACCGGAUAGCAUACGAAUAUCGCAUGAUAUUUUUAUUAAAGAAUUUCGGUUAUCGAUGGGGAUGCGUUCCAUUAGUUUGUUGGCGGGGUAACGGCCCACCAAGACUACGAUGGAUAGGGGUUCUGAGAGGAAGGUCCCCCACAUUGGAACUGAGACACGGUCCAAACUCCUACGGGAGGCAGCGGUGAGGAAUAUUGGUCAAUGGGCGAGAGCCUGAACCAGCCAAGUAGCGUGAAGGAUGAAGGCUCUAUGGGUCGUAAACUUCUUUUAUAUGGGAAUAAAGUUUUCCACGUGUGGAAUUUUGUAUGUACCAUAUGAAUAAGGAUCGGCUAACUCCGUGCCAGCAGCCGCGGUAAUACGGAGGAUCCGAGCGUUAUCCGGAUUUAUUGGGUUUAAAGGGAGCGUAGGUGGAUUGUUAAGUCAGUUGUGAAAGUUUGCGGCUCAACCGUAAAAUUGCAGUUGAAACUGGCAGUCUUGAGUACAGUAGAGGUGGGCGGAAUUCGUGGUGUAGCGGUGAAAUGCUUAGAUAUCACGAAGAACUCCGAUUGCGAAGGCAGCUCACUAGACUGUCACUGACACUGAUGCUCGAAAGUGUGGGUAUCAAACAGGAUUAGAUACCCUGGUAGUCCACACAGUAAACGAUGAAUACUCGCUGUUUGCGAUAUACAGUAAGCGGCCAAGCGAAAGCAUUAAGUAUUCCACCUGGGGAGUACGCCGGCAACGGUGAAACUCAAAGGAAUUGACGGGGGCCCGCACAAGCGGAGGAACAUGUGGUUUAAUUCGAUGAUACGCGAGGAACCUUACCCGGGCUUAAAUUGCAACAGAAUAUAUUGGAAACAGUAUAGCCGUAAGGCUGUUGUGAAGGUGCUGCAUGGUUGUCGUCAGCUCGUGCCGUGAGGUGUCGGCUUAAGUGCCAUAACGAGCGCAACCCUUAUCUUUAGUUACUAACAGGUUAUGCUGAGGACUCUAGAGAGACUGCCGUCGUAAGAUGUGAGGAAGGUGGGGAUGACGUCAAAUCAGCACGGCCCUUACGUCCGGGGCUACACACGUGUUACAAUGGGGGGUACAGAAGGCGGCUACCUGGUGACAGGAUGCUAAUCCCAAAAACCUCUCUCAGUUCGGAUCGAAGUCUGCAACCCGACUUCGUGAAGCUGGAUUCGCUAGUAAUCGCGCAUCAGCCAUGGCGCGGUGAAUACGUUCCCGGGCCUUGUACACACCGCCCGUCAAGCCAUGAAAGCCGGGGGUACCUGAAGUACGUAACCGCAAGGAGCGUCCUAGGGUAAAACUGGUAAUUGGGGCUAAGUCAUA
rnacentral:rRNA from 1 species